rnacentral:rRNA from 1 species
UACGUAGGGUGCAAGCGUUAAUCGGAAUUACUGGGCGUAAAGCGUGCGCAGGCGGUGAUGUAAGACAGGUGUGAAAUCCCCGGGCUUAACCUGGGAAUGGCAUUUGGGACUGCAAGGCUGGAGUGCGGCAGAGGAGACUGGAAUUCCUGGUGUAGCAGUGAAAUGCGUAGAUAUCAGGAGGAAUACCGAUGGCGAAGGCAGGUCUCUGGGCUGACACUGACGCUCAUGCACGAAAGCGUGGGGAGCAAACAGG